AUUUAUCAUGAGCUGAACUCAAAGAAUCUAAGACUUUCUCUAUGUACACAAAAGACCUACUUCUCUCAAAUAUUGUUCACAAAUCUGUCUAAAUCUGUGUUACUUCUCCUUUGACGAGAUAAUCCAUCCACCUCACAGGUGUGGCAUAUCAAGAUGCUGAUUAGACAGCAUGAUUAUUGCACAGGAGUCACAUAAUAUGUCGGGGUUGGCUGGCCUUCCCUAGUCACUUUCAUGCUGGGGUUGGCUGGCCUUCCCUAGUCACUUUCAUGCUGGGGUUGGCUGGCCUUCCCUAGUCACUUUCAUGCUGGGGUUGGCUGGCCUUCCCUAGUCACUUUCAUGUUGAGGUUGGCUGGCCUUCCCUAGUCACUUUCAUGUUGAGUUUGGCUGGCCUUCCCUAGUCACUUUCAUGCUGGGGUUGGCUGGCCUUCCCUAGUCACUUUCAUGCUGGGGUUGGCUGGCCUUCCCUAGUCACUUUCAUGCUGGGGUUGGCUGGCCUUCCCUAGUCAUCCACAGACUCAGUCCCUGGGAUACUUUCAUUUACAAAGACAUUCUGGGUUUGCUAUGUUCUUAUUUAUGAGUUUUAAUUCUUCCGAAAUGUGGUGGGUACUCGUUGUUAUCCCGAUAACUGUCCCACUUGCCCUCACGGAACUUUGGGGCUUUUAUGGAAUCUGUCCCAUCGGCUUACACAAUAGUUUUGAAUUGGAGGAACUUGGCCCUUUUGGUAUUUUUAGAUCAUUGAUGAACGACUUUGAGGUUGAUUCCUU
ensembl:lncRNA